rnacentral:tRNA from 3 species
CUUUUAAAGGAUAAAAGUAAUCCACUG